GACGAACGCUGGCGGCGCGCUUAACACAUGCAAGUCGAGGGGUAUAGUUCUUCGGAACUAGAGACCGGCGCACGGGUGCGUAACGCGUAUGCAAUCUACCUUUUGCAGAGGGAUAGCCCAGAGAAAUUUGGAUUAAUACCUCAUAGUAUGUGAGAAUGGCAUCAUUUUCACAUUAAAGUCACAACGGCAAAAGAUGAGAAUGCGUCCCAUUAGCUUGUUGGAUAGGUAACGGCUUACCAAGGCAACGAUGGGUAGGGGUCCUGAGAGGGAGAUCCCCCACACUGGUACUGAGACACGGACCAGACUCUUACGGGAGGCAGCAGUGAGGAAUAUUGGACAAUGGGCGCAAGCCUGAUCCAGCCAUGCCGCGUGCAGGAUGACGGUCCUAUGGAUUGUAAACUGCUUUUGUACAGGAAGAAACACUGGUUCGUGAACCAGCUUGACGGUACUGUAAGAAUAAGGAUCGGCUAACUCCGUGCCAGCCGCCGCCGUAAUAC
rnacentral:rRNA from 1 species